UUUCAGAGCGAAGGACACCAAGAGACCUUCUCUUUUCAGCGUGUGAUGUCUGACACUCAGAGCCCGACUGUCUACAGUAACACGACACUGUAGCAGGCCGCAGCAGAGGGACGACGUUGGUUGGUGGAGAUAAACAUCAAUCAAACUGGACGCCCCCCAGGGCGAUACCACCCCCGACUCAACAAUAGGGUGUCUUCAUGCUCCCCCGACCCACGUAAACCCCCGCUAAGCCAUCCAGCCCCCCCCCCCCCCC
ensembl:lncRNA